rnacentral:rRNA from 1 species
AAUAUUGGACAAGGGGGGCACCCCAUACCCCGCCGUCCCGCGUGUGUAAAAAGGCUCUUGGGUUUGUAACGCUCUUUGAGUGGGGGGGGAGGGUUUGAUUAUUAUACUCUGCAGUUGUGACGUUACAAACAGAAUAAGCCACGUCUCUCUCUGCCCCAGCAGCCGCGGUAAUACAGAGGGUGCAAGCGUUAAUCGGAAUUACUGGGCGUAAAGCGCGCGUAGGUGGUUCAGUAAGAUGGGUGUGAAAUCCCCGGGCUUAACCUGGGAACUGCUUUCAUAACUGCUGAGCUAGAGUACGGUAGAGGGUAGUGGAAUUUCCUGUGUAGCGGUGAAAUGCGUAGAUAUAGGAAGGAACACCAGUGGCGAAGGCGACUACCUGGACUGAUACUGACACUGAGGUGCGAAAGCGUGGGGAGCAAAC